UAGGGAAUCUUCCACAAUGGACGCAAGUCUGAUGGAGCAACGCCGCGUGAGUGAAGAAGGCUUUCGGGUCGUAAAACUCUGUUAUUGAAGAAGAACGUGUGUGACAGUAACUGGUCAUGCAGUGACGGUAUUCAAUCAGAAAGUCACGGCUAACUACGUGCCAGCAGCCGCGGUAAUACGUAGGUGGCAAGCGUUGUCCGGAUUUAUUGGGCGUAAAGCGAGUGCAGGCGGUCUUUUAAGUCUGAUGUGAAAGCCUUCGGCUUAACCGAAGAAGGGCAUCGGAAACUGGGAGACUUGAGUGCAGAAGAGGAGAGUGGAACUCCAUGUGUAGCGGUGAAAUGCGUAGAUAUAUGGAAGAACACCAGUGGCGAAGGCGGCUCUCUGGUCUGUAACUGACGCUGAGGCUCGAAAGCGUGGUAGCAAACAGGAUUAGAUACCCUGGUAGUCC
rnacentral:rRNA from 1 species